GUGAAGAGAAGCUUGCUUCUUGGAUCAGUGGCGAACGGGUGAGUAACACGUGAGCAAUCUGCCCUUGACUCUGGGAUAAGCGUUGGAAACGACGUCUAAUACCGGAUACGACCCUCGGAGGCAUCUCCUGGGGGUGGAAAGAAUUUUGGUCAAGGAUGAGCUCGCGGCCUAUCAGCUAGUUGGUGAGGUAAUGGCUCACCAAGGCGACGACGGGUAGCCGGCCUGAGAGGGUGACCGGCCACACUGGGACUGAGACACGGCCCAGACUCCUACGGGAGGCAGCAGUGGGGAAUAUUGCACAAUGGGCGAAAGCCUGAUGCAGCAACGCCGCGUGAGGGACGAAGGCCUUCGGGUUGUAAACCUCUUUUAGUAGGGAAGAAGCGAAAGUGACGGUACCUGCAGAAAAAGCACCGGCUAACUACGUGCCAGCAGCCGCGGUAAUACGUAGGGUGCAAGCGUUGUCCGGAAUUAUUGGGCGUAAAGAGCUCGUAGGCGGUUUGUCGCGUCUGCUGUGAAAACCCGAGGCUCAACCUCGGGCCUGCAGUGGGUACGGGCAGACUAGAGUGCGGUAGGGGAGAUUGGAAUUCCUGGUGUAGCGGUGGAAUGCGCAGAUAUCAGGAGGAACACCAAUGGCGAAGGCAGAUCUCUGGGCCGUAACUGACGCUGAGGAGCGAAAGCAUGGGGAGCGAACAGGAUUAGAUACCCUGGUAGUCCAUGCCGUAAACGUUGGGAACUAGAUGUGGGGACCAUUCCACGGUCUCCGUGUCGCAGCUAACGCAUUAAGUUCCCCGCCUGGGGAGUACGGCCGCAAGGCUAAAACUCAAAGGAAUUGACGGGGGCCCGCACAAGCGGCGGAGCAUGCGGAUUAAUUCGAUGCAACGCGAAGAACCUUACCAAGGCUUGACAUAUAGAGGAAACGGCUGGAAACAGUCGCCCCGCAAGGUCUCUAUACAGGUGGUGCAUGGUUGUCGUCAGCUCGUGUCGUGAGAUGUUGGGUUAAGUCCCGCAACGAGCGCAACCCUCGUCCUAUGUUGCCAGCACGUAAUGGUGGGAACUCAUGGGAUACUGCCGGGGUCAACUCGGAGGAAGGUGGGGAUGACGUCAAAUCAUCAUGCCCCUUAUGUCUUGGGCUUCACGCAUGCUACAAUGGCCGGUACAAAGGGCUGCAAUACCGUAAGGUGGAGCGAAUCCCAAAAAGCCGGUCUCAGUUCGGAUUGAGGUCUGCAACUCGACCUCAUGAAGUCGGAGUCGCUAGUAAUCGCAGAUCAGCAACGCUGCGGUGAAUACGUUCCCGGGCCUUGUACACACCGCCCGUCAAGUCAUGAAAGUCGGUAACACCCGAAGCCAGUGGCCUAACCGCAAGGAAGGAG
rnacentral:rRNA from 1 species